rnacentral:tRNA from 1 species
GCGUCCGUAGUUCAGUUGGAUAGAAUGUCGGCCUCCGACGCCGAAGAUCGUGGGUUCGAGUCCCGCCGGGCGUACCA